GCGGAGGAAAAGAAACUAACAAGGAUUCCCCUAGUAACGGSSARKKRAGAGGGAAAAGCCCAAGUUUGAAAGCUGGCACCUUUGGUGUCCGCAUUGUAAACUCGAGAAGCAUUAUCCGCGCCGGACCAAGCUUUAAAUCCUUUGGAAUAAGGUACCUUAGAGGGUGAUAGUCCCUUUCAUGGUUUGGAACCCCCGGGGCUUUGUGAUUUGCUCUCCAAGAGUCGAGUUGUUUGGGAAUGCAGCUCAAAAUGGGUGGUAAAUGCCAUCUAAGGCUAAAUAUAGAGGAGAGACCGAUAGCGAACAAGUACCGUGAGGGAAAGAUGAAAAGAACUUUGAAAAGAGAGUUAAACAGUACGUGAAAUUGCCGGAAGGGAAGGGUAGGAAGUCAGAUAUGCCUUUGCGGAUUCAGCUUGACCUUUCGAGGUUGUGUGUAUUUCCGUUUGGGCAGGCCAGCAUCGAUUUUGGCUGUCGGAUAUGAAUGGAAGGAAUGUGGCACUCUCUUUGGAGGGUGUGUUAUAGCCUUUUAUUUGGUACGGCGGCUGGGAUCGAGGAACGCAGUGCACCCUUCUAGGGCGGGCCUUUGGGCACCUUUGCACAUAGGAUGUUGGCUUAAUGGCUCUCUGCCACCCGUCUUGAAA
rnacentral:rRNA from 1 species